CAGCCGCCGCGGUAAUACGGAGGGGGCUAGCGUUGUUCGGAAUUACUGGGCGUAAAGCGCACGUAGGCGGCUUUGUAAGUUAGAGGUGAAAGCCCGGAGCUCAACUCCGGAAUUGCCUUUAAGACUGCAGAGCUAGCAGGUGAGAGAGGUGAGUGGAAUUCCGAGUGUAGAGGUGAAAUUCGUAGAUAUUCGGAAGAACACCAGUGGCGAAGGCGGCUCACUGGCUCAUACUGGACGCUGAGGUGCGAAAGCGUGGGGAGCAAACAGGAUUAGAUACCCCCGUAGUCCCUGUCUCUUAUAC
rnacentral:rRNA from 1 species